AAGGGUAUAGCUCAGUGGUAGAGUGUGUGCUUAGCAUACAUGAAAUCCUGGGUUCACUCUCCAGUACCUCCA
rfam:Camelus ferus unplaced genomic scaffold scaffold1123, whole genome shotgun sequence.